AGUGAACGCUGGCGGUAGGCCUAACACAUGCAAGUCGAACGGCAGCACAGUAAGAGCUUGCUCUUACGGGUGGCGAGUGGCGGACGGGUGAGGAAUACAUCGGAAUCUACUUUUUCGUGGGGGAUAACGUAGGGAAACUUACGCUAAUACCGCAUACGACCUACGGGUGAAAGCAGGGGAUCUUCGGACUUUGCGCGAUUGAAUGAGCCGAUGUCGGAUUAGCUAGUUGGCGGGGUAAAGGCCCACCAAGGCGACGAUCCGUAGCUGGUCUGAGAGGAUGAUCAGCCACACUGGAACUGAGACACGGUCCAGACUCCCACGGGAGGCAGCAGUGGGGAAUAUUGGACAAUGGGCGCAAGCCUGAUCCAGCCAUACCGCGUGGGUGAAGAAGGCCUUCGGGUUGUAAAGCCCUUUUGUUGGGAAAGAAAAGCAGCAGGUUAAUACCCCGCUGUUCUGACGGUACCCAAAGAAUAAGCACCGGCUAACUUCGUG
rnacentral:rRNA from 1 species